rnacentral:rRNA from 1 species
CCAACAGCUAGAGUUUGAUCCUGGCUCAGGAUGAACGCUAGCGACAGGCUUAACACAUGCAAGUCGAGGGGCAGCACAGGUAGCAAUACCGGGUGGCGACCGGCGCACGGGUGAGUAACGCGUAUGCAACUUACCUAUCAGAGGGGGAUAACCCGGCGAAAGUCGGACUAAUACCGCAUGAAGCAGGGGCCCCGCAUGGGGAUAUUUGCUAAAGAUUCAUCGCUGAUAGAUAGGCAUGCGUUCCAUUAGGCAGUUGGCGGGGUAACGGCCCACCAAACCGACGAUGGAUAGGGGUUCUGAGAGGAAGGUCCCCCACAUUGGUACUGAGACACGGACCAAACUCCUACGGGAGGCAGCAGUGAGGAAUAUUGGUCAAUGGGCGUAAGCCUGAACCAGCCAAGUCGCGUGAGGGAUGAAGGUUCUAUGGAUCGUAAACCUCUUUUAUAAGGGAAUAAAGUGCGGGACGUGUCCCGUUUUGUAUGUACCUUAUGAAUAAGGAUCGGCUAACUCCGUGCCAGCAGCCGCGGUAA